CCUUAUAAAGAGUGACGGAGGGACAGGCCCUGUGAAGUCCGGCAACCUGCAAGUGUGUAUGCAAGGUGCCAAUUCCUACAGCCCGAAACGGCUGAGAGAUAAGG
rnacentral:ncRNA from 1 species